rnacentral:rRNA from 1 species
GAUGAACGCUGGCGGCGUGCCUAAUACAUGCAAGUCGAGCGAACGGACGAGAAGCUUGCUCCUCUGAUGUUAGCGGCGGACGGGUGAGUAACACGUGGAUAACCUACCUAUAAGACUGGGAUAACUUCGGGAAACCGGAGCUAAUACCGGAUAAUAUUUUGAACCGCAUGGUUCAAAAGUGAAAGACGGUUUUGCUGUCACUUAUAGAUGGAUCCGCGCUGCAUUAGCUAGUUGGUAAGGUAACGGCUUACCAAGGCAACGAUGCCUAGCCGACCUGAGAGGGUGAUCGGCCACACUGGAACUGAGACACGGUCCAGACUCCUACGGGAGGCAGCAGUAGGGAAUCUUCCGCAAUGGGCGCAAGCCUGACGGAGCACCGCCGCGUGAGUGAUGAAGGUCUUCGGAUCGUAAAACUCUGUUAUUAGGGAAGAACAAAUGUGUAAGUAACUAUGCACAUCUUGACGGUACCUAAUCAGAAAGCCACGGCUAACUCCGUG